rnacentral:rRNA from 1 species
AUUGAACGCUGGCGGCAGGCCUAACACAUGCAAGUCGAACGAGUGGCGGACGGGUGAGUAAUGUCUUGGAAACUGCCUGAUGGAGGGGGAUAACUACUGGAAACGGUAGCUAAUACCGCAUACCAUCAGAUGUGCCCAGAUGGGCUUAGCUUGUUGGUGGGGGAACGGCUCACCAAGGCGACGAUCCCUAGCUGGUCUGAGAGGACGACCAGCCAGACUGGAACUUAGACACGCUCCAAACUCCUACGGGAGGCAGCAGUGGGGAAUAUUGCCCAAUUGACGCAAGCCUGAUGCAGACGUGCCGCAUGAAUGAAGAAGGCCUUCGGGUUGUAAAGUUCUUUGAACGGAGAGGCGUUACCCACAGAAGAAGCACCGGCUAACUCCGUGCCAGCAGCCGCCGUAAUAC